GUUUACAUCCAGAUAUCAGAAGAGUCAAGUUCCCUUUUGCAGACAGCGGUUUCAGUGCUGCAGAGCUCCUACUUGGACUCUACAUCUCAGGACGGUUUUCAGUACAGCCAAGCAAUUCUAGUGGAAAACGAUGUUUUUCUAAGUGAGCUCAAAGCUUUUGCCCAAGCCAAGGAAGCUGCCGGGUACAGCCAGGAGGAGCUGGAGGAGACCUUUGCGUUUCUCCUGUUUGAUAAUGAAGCAGAGGCAAGAGAGGUGUGUCAGACAGGCCUCCGUGUAAACAGCAGUUCUAUUUCCACGCUUGGUGACCCAGCAAAAGGUAAGAUUUCCAUUUA